rnacentral:lncRNA from 1 species
UAGUAUGGUGCUGAUAAUCUUUCACUGAUCCCAUGCUUGGAUUGCUGGUUACAGCCGCCUAAAAGUGGAGGAGCAAAGUAUUAAUCUUACUUAGCUUCCUGUUCACCGGAAGACACUUGGAGCGUUGCAUCCCUGGGGAGUAAAGCUGGUGAGUUACAGGGGCUCACACAGAGUUUUGUCAGUCCUGUUGCUUUCAAUGUGGAGACUGAGGUCUAAAGAUGAGGAACUUAGGCAAGGGUUUGAACUCAGGGCUUUUGACUCUUUUGUGCUUUGCUGGGGGAGUCUUCUCCAGCACUACUCUCUGGAUCUAGCUUCUAGAGAGAAAGCCUGAAAUAAGCCUGAAAUUAGGAAGCUCAUUUUGCACAUACCAGUCACUGAGUUAAAUGCUGGCCUCUAAAAACAUGGUAUGUGAGGUCAUAGCACAAUUGAUACUGGUUAAGAGGCCUCCAUCAAAAGCCUGUUGUGUCAGAUGUUCAGACUGACCAGGCCUUUGCAAACUGCCUUGUAUGUGGGGGUCUUUGAAGCCCUGAGUGUUGGGUUCCAUAUACAUCACGUAGUCACUUGAGGAUUUCCUGGCAUAUCCCUUCUUACACGUGUUAUUUAACGAUGAGUAAGUGAUGGGGCUGGAGAUCAUACCCAAGUCUGUUUCCUCAUCUCAUAAAUGGUAUCCUUUUGAAUAGAAAAGGAGAUAACGCCCACGAGACACUCAUUAAGUGAUGUCCUGACCUGGUAAAAGCAGCCAAUGAGGAUCCAAGUCUUUAUAGUCAGUGUUCCUCCCAUAGGCAAGGAGGCCAGGGAGAGGCCCUAGCGUUCUGUAGCUGGUCUUUUGCUACUUUGUGGGAUCUUCUUUCUUCCACCCUUCCCCACUCUUUUCCUACCCUUCCAACCCCCUAACACUAGAUGAAAGAGAAGAAAAGAGGGGAAAGAGGGUAAUGUCAUCAUUAUGCUACUUCCUGCUUAUUAGGGGUGUUGAGUUCCUUGGGGCAAGUUUAACUUCACCAUCAGGAUAUCUAAUUUUUUCUUUCUUCUUUCUUCUUCCUUUCUCCUCUGCCUCCUCCUUGAACAACUAUUAACUAACCACUACCAACAGCAACCACCCACCAACCAACAAAACCUUUCAGGGCUCUAGCAUUUAUAUACUCUAAAAAGUCCCCAGAAUCCACAAAGUUGCAGAAACUACUUGUAGCUGGCAAAAUCAUGCCCCUGCUAGAGCAUGAGGCAAAUCACAGUCAGCUGCUGUGACAGUCUGCAGAGGCUCUAUAUUGAACGCAUGGAAUUUUAAAAAACAAACAAAAACCAAAAACAUAUUCUGAUAAUAUUUGUGGUUUUUAAAGAAACCAACAUUCCAUAAUUGUCACUACACAUUCCUUAGUAGGUAAGUGAACAGGCGGAAGGUUUACCAGUGGACCCGUAAUGAUCCGCUGGGUAGAUGGAGGGGACGCUCCUUCCAGGUUUACUUGAGCUGCUUGAUUUCCAGGAUGUUUGUUGGUCAAGUUCCUGAAGCUUUCUCUGUCUCUUGUUUCCUUAUGGGAAGAGUGAGUCAGCGCAUGUCAAGUGCUGAGUAUUGCCUGGCAUGGUGAUCACUGUAUUCUUGAUGGCUCUUACCCUCAGGACUGUUGCUGUUUACUGUGGGUCUAUUGUAUUGCUGGUGUGUCACCAGGAUGACAGUUGGCAGAAGUGCUUUGGAAAGGUAGGUGAUGAGGAGGUCAGGUGGCAGUGCUGACUCCAUAUGCUUCAAGGAUCUGGGUUUUAGCAGCACAGAUGGGACCAGGGUAGAACUAAAGAUUGGGACCAUUUGUGGCUCAUGGUCAUAGCCAGGUUGAGCUGACGUAAGCUGCUUGCUCAGUGACUGUAUUCUUACCCCUUAAAUGAGAGAAACAGUGCUUGGUGUUGCCGUCUGACUCAGGCUAGCUUGAUGGGCUCCCUGUGCAGGCUCUUGUCCCAUGCUUUUGCCAGCCAGAGCUAAUUUGUUUACUGCCACAUGUCCACAGGGUCCCUUCAUUGAUGCAUCAGAUUCUGGGCAGCACUGUUCUUUUGGUUUUGUUGGAGUUUAGGGUAAUGAGCUGUUUUGUUAUAUAAUGAACACAGAUAUUUGACUUUGUCCGUUUCGAGGGAGGCACGUAUGCCUUGGUCCUACCUGGAAUAUAGUGUGCUUUGCUGAUUAUAGCUUGAAGCACUGAGACCACAAAUGAUUCUAUUCUGGUUUGGAGGCAGGAGCUUUAGAGUGGAAAGGAUCCUUCUGUUUAGUUAGGGCAUAGAGUUGCUGCCGUCUCAUAAAGUAAUUUUAAUUGUAUCUGGAGUAGGGGUGGCUCAGCUUAGGAGCCAUAUGACUCUGCUUGUUUUAACUAAAUGGAUGAGUUCACAGUGAACUCUUCCUGGGCCUGAGCAUUAUCUGAGCAGCCCUGUGCCAUGGUGCCGUUUGUGGUCAGUUACAUAAGAGCUGAAUUUUAAUGCUGAGGCCACGGUAUAAUUUUCCCCCCAAGAACUGGAAUAUGUAUCCCUUUGAUAAGACAGUACCCAAUUUAGCCACCCAGAAGCUAGGAAAACAAAAUUGGAGCCUUAUGGCUCAGUGAGGUAAGAACCACAAAACAGUUAGAAUUUGGUGCCAGCUAUUGCAGAAAGCAAAGAGUUGGCUACAUUAAUGGAGACCAUUUCUUCUCCUGCCAGAUGUGAAGAAAAUAUACAUUCUUCUCCACUCUGUUAUUAACAUAGCAGGGAUACCUUGUAUUCUGUAACAUCAUGCCCCAGGGGCUUAGACCAGGACAACCAUAGUGAACAAACCCAGCAUGCAGCAGGCUGUAAUAGGUAUGGUGAUAAUUCUUUUGUUAUGGAAAAUAACCAGAGAUCAUCCCGUCCUUUUGUGGAUUAGGUUGCUGGGGCCCAGAAAAUAAAGGUGCAUAUGUUCCUUUUGGUAAAUUUCAAAUCUCUACCCACCCCGCAUAGAUACUCACACAAAGC